GAUGAACGCUGGCGGCGUGCCUAAUACAUGCAAGUCGAGCGAACGGACGAGAAGCUUGCUUCUCUGAUGUUAGCGGCGGACGGGUGAGUAACACGUGGAUAACCUACCUAUAAGACUGGGAUAACUUCGGGAAACCGGAGCUAAUACCGGAUCAUAUUUUGAACCGCAUGGUUCAAAAGUGAAAGACGGUCUUGCUGUCACUUAUAGAUGGAUCCGCGCUGCAUUAGCUAGUUGGUAAGGUAACGGCUUACCAAGGCAACGAUGCAUAGCCGACCUGAGAGGGUGAUCGGCCACACAGGAACUGAGACACGGUCCAGACUCCUACGGGAGGCAGCAGUAGGGAAUCUUCCGCAAUGGGCGAAAGCCUGACGGAGCAACGCCGCGUGAGUGAUGAAGGUCUUCGGAGCGGAAAACUCUGUUAUUAGGGAAGAACAUAUGUGUAAGUAACUGUGCACAUCUUGACGGUACCUAAUCAGAAAGCCACGGCUAACUACGUG
rnacentral:rRNA from 1 species